rnacentral:rRNA from 1 species
CCUACGGGUGGCUGCAGUGGGGAAUAUUGGACAAUGGGGGGAACCCUGAUCCAGCCAUGCCGCGUGUGUGAAGAAGGCCCUCGGGUUGUAAAGCACUUUCAGUGAGGAAGAACGCCUGGUGGUUAAUACCCAUCAGGAAAGACAUCACUCACAGAAGAAGCACCGGCUAACUCCGUGCCAGCAGCCGCGGUAAUACGGAGGGUGCGAGCGUUAAUCGGAAUUACUGGGCGUAAAGCGCGCGUAGGUGACUUGAUAAGCCGGUUGUGAAAGCCCCGGGCUCAACCUGGGAACGGCAUCCGGAACUGUCAAGCUAGAGUGCAGGAGAGGAAGGUAGAAUUCCCGGUGUAGCGGUGAAAUGCGUAGAGAUCGGGAGGAAUACCAGUGGCGAAGGCGGCCUUCUGGACUGACACUGACACUGAGGUGCGAAAGCGUGGGUAGCAAACAGGAUUAAUACCCUGGUAGUC